CAUCGGAACGUGCCCAGUCGUGGGGGAUAACUACUCGMAAGAGUAGCUAAUACCGCAUACGAUCUGAGGAUGAAAGCGGGGGACCUUCGGGCCUCGCGCGAUUGGAGCGGCCGAUGGCAGAUUAGGUAGUUGGUGGGAUAAAAGCUUACCAAGCCGACGAUCUGUAGCUGGUCUGAGAGGACGACCAGCCACACUGGGACUGAGACACGGCCCAGACUCCUACGGGAGGCAGCAGUGGGGAAUUUUGGACAAUGGGCGAAAGCCUGAUCCAGCAAUGCCGCGUGCAGGAUGAAGGCCUUC
rnacentral:rRNA from 1 species